CUUUCAAACACUAAAAUAUGAUACACAUUUUGUUACUAAUACUUUUACAAUGACAACAAUGUGUUAUAAUUCGAAAUUGACAUAUUUGACCUAGAUACCGAAACGUUCAUUUUGAUUGUUUUGACUUCAAAACCCCUCCCUCUGAAAAACACGUUUCAUCUAUCCUGUUUAAUAAAAAGGCAUGUAUAUAAUAAUUUCAUUGAAAAAUAUGAUCUGACGAUAAAGUAGAAAAUAAAGUAUAGGUUAAUAUAACUGUUGUACUGAAAUGACAAAAUUGUUUCAUAUUUAUGAUAAAAUGGAUUGACCCUAGCAGGGAAUCGAACCCCAUUCUCCUAUAAAAACAAAAUAGGCGUAAUUACCAAUAUACCACCAAGGUUUCCAAUCCAUUUUACAAAUGCAACAAGAUUUUCACUCAGUAUUAAUUUUAAUCAUCAUGUAAUACAGCAUUUGAAAUCGUCAGAUGCACCAGAGACAUAUGUAUAUAUGGACAUAUGUACAUAUGUCUCUUGAUGCACAAAGGCGUCCCCUUUCAUCAACUUUACAGGGUGUAGCUACCGCAACUAUAGUCCAAAUAAUUAUGACGUCUGGCAAGGCUAUUUUUUUUUUUCUGGGACGCCGUUGUAGGAAGGCGUCCCAGAAAAAAAUUAAAAUAGCCUUGCCAGACGUCGUAAUUAUUUGGACUACCGCAAGUAUAAAUGAAUCUCUGUCAAAGGGCCCUUCUGCCAAGUCUCGAAAGUCAGCACAAAUUUUUCAAGGAAUCCUCUAUCAGAUAUGAACAUAUUUACCAAAGCUACACUAACCGGCGGAACAUUUACAAUUAAUUUAGUAAAUAAAGAACCUACCCGAUUCUCCUUGUGCGUCCGCCGCCAUUGACAACUGACUUGAAAAUGUGCGUGUCAGAAAUUGACCUCAAAGAAAAAAGACGUUGAAUUAUAACUUUUCUGUUAUAUUGUGACACAAAUAUUGUUUAAGUUAAUAAAUUUGUUAAUUUCUGUUUCAAUUUUAAAUUUUAGAAAUACAACUUU
rnacentral:lncRNA from 1 species